AUUGAACGCUGGCGGCAGGCCUAACACAUGCAAGUCGAACGGCAGCGGGGGAUAGCUUGCUAUCCUGCCGGCGAGUGGCGGACGGGUGAGUAAUGCAUGGGGAGUUGCCCAGUCGAGGGGGAUAACAACUGGAAACGGUAGCUAAUACCGCAUAACGUCGCAAGACCAAAGUGGGGGACCUUCGGGCCUCACACCAUCGGAUGUGCCCAGAUGGGAUUAGCUAGUAGGUGGGGUAAUGGCUCACCUAGGCGACGAUCCCUAGCUGGGCUGAGAGGAUGACCAGCCACACUGGAACUGAUACACGGUCCAGACUCCUACGGGAGGCAGCAGUGGGGAAUAUUGCACAAUGGGCGCAAGCCUGAUGCAGCCAUGCCGCGUGUAUGAAGAAGGCCUUCGGGUUGUAAAGUACUUUCAGCGGGGAGGAAGGCGGUGAAGUUAAUAGCUUCACCGAUUGACGUUACCCGCAGAAGAAGCACCGGCUAACUCCGUGCCAGCAGCCGCCGUAA
rnacentral:rRNA from 1 species